rnacentral:rRNA from 1 species
UACGAAGGGGGCUAGCGUUGCUCGGAAUCACUGGGCGUAAAGCGCACGUAGGCGGAUCGUUAAGUCAGGGGUGAAAUCCUGGAGCUCAACUCCAGAACUGCCUUUGAUACUGGCGACCUUGAGUCCGGGAGAGGUGAGUGGAACUGCGAGUGUAGAGGUGAAAUUCGUAGAUAUUCGCAAGAACACCAGUGGCGAAGGCGGCUCACUGGCCCGGUACUGACGCUGAGGCGCGAAAGCGUGGGGAGCAAACAGG